AAGUAGUGUUUCCUUGUU
rnacentral:siRNA from 1 species